GCUUGCUUCCCCAACACAUACACUAAAAUUGGAACGAUACAGAAAAGAUUGGCAUGUCCUCUGCACAAGGAUGACAUGCAAAUCUGUGAUGCAUUCUUCAUUUUU